AGCUUUGCGCAGUGGCAAUUUCAUAGCCUGUGAGGAUGAUCCAAGGCACGAUUACUGAAAACUUUUCCCAAUACCCCACCGUGGCAUCUUGCGAUAUAGUUGUUUCUGGCAAUUUUUGAUGACCUCUCACAAGG